UACAGAGGUCCCAAGCGUUGUUCGGAUUCACUGGGCGUAAAGGGUGCGUAGGUGGUGAGGUAAGUCGGAUGUGAAAUCUCCAGGCUCAACCUGGAAACUGCAUUGGAAACUACCUUGCUGGAGGAUUUGAGGGGGGGAUUGGAAUACUUGGUGUAGCAGUGAAAUGCGUAGAUAUCAAGUGGAACACCAGUGGCGAAGGCGAAUCCCUGGAAAAUACCUGACACUGAGGCACGAAAGCUAGGGGAGCAAACAGG
rnacentral:rRNA from 1 species